rnacentral:rRNA from 1 species
UACGUAGGGUGCGAGCGUUAAUUCGGAAUACUGGGCGUAAAGCGUGCGCUAGGCGUGAGUUAGAUCUGAGUGUGAAGACCCCCGGGCUCAACCUGGGAAUGGCAUUGGAAACUGGCUCGCUUGGAGUGGUGGCAGGAGGGGGGUGGAAAUUCCGCGUGUAGCAGUGAAAUGCGUAGAGAUGCGGAGGAACACCGAUGGCGAAGGCAGCCCCCUGGGCCAAUACUGACGCUCAGGCACGAAAGCGUGGGGAGCAAACAGG